AUUAUCGACUUGCUCAUCUGAUCACCAUCAUUGCUUGUGCGUGCCUGGCUGGUGAAGUGGAUGAUUUUGUCAUCACUACACAAUCUUUACUCAACAGGGUGGUUCUUGGAUUAGGUCAACAACUUGAGGUAACCGGACAGGCUGCUGAAUCCAUAAAAAGCGUGAUACAGACGGGUGAAAAUGAAAUGACUCCGUCAGUCAAAGCUCAGCCUUGGGAAGGGAAGAGAUACGGGACAAGAUGAGGAGACUGAGAGAAAAAGAAAGAGAGAAGGUGAUGGAGAUGAGAGAGGAAAAGCAGAGAGGUAGCAGCGCCUUGGCAGUGAUCUAUUCUUCACGCUAGGAGGUCAUUCGAGGCUUUCCACAGUUUUUCAGCAUGUGCACAAAUGUAAUAAAAACAGGACAGAGCCUGUAUGUUGUGCAUAGAAUAUACGCCAUACUGCCAAUGAAUGCACUUGAAUG